UACGUAGGGUGCGAGCGUUGCCCGGAUUUAUUGGGCGUAAAGGGCGCGUAGGCGGCCACGCACGUCCGUUGUGAAAUCGCCCGGCUCAACUGGGCGGGGUCAGCGGAUACGGUGUGGCUAGAGCAAGCUAGGGGGCAAUGGAAUUCCCGGUGUAGUGGUGGAAUGCGUAGAUAUCGGGAGGAACACCAGUGGCGAAGGCGGUUGCCUGGAGCUUUGCUGACGCUGAUGCGCGAAAGCCAGGGGAGCGAACGGG
rnacentral:rRNA from 1 species